UUUCACAGCAAUGGCGGAUCGCGGAGCCUCUCAAUAGUUCCCGGAAGUAAGUGGCACAUGCUAGCAGCGCAAUGGAGUUACAGCAGAAAAGACCGGCUGUGAUGUACUUUUAACGGGAGCACUGGGUGGUGGCGGAGCAGUGAUGCUGCAGGACCACUGUGUGAGAGAGGACGCUGCAGGUAAGUGCUGAGUCGACCUUGGUGAGACUUAAAACUUAACAAGCACAAGAACAACAGGGGGAUGCAAUGGAGCCUGAACUCACCCCGCAAUGAAACAACCCCCUUACCCUGAGUCUCAACUCCGUGGGUUUUGCAAGCCUUUCCCUGUUCCUUAUUUUUAAUAAACCAAACACUGAGCUUCCCAAUAGUGUGGUCUUUGUUUGUGGAAAUGUGCUAAUGCAGUAUUUGAGAAUGAUAACCUUACAUAUUUUUGUUGUUGUAGUCUGUAGUGAGUCUCAGGUUACUCCUGCUGACUUAAGCCAAAGAAAAAUUCUCAUCUCUGUGUCAAUGAAGAAAUUGUGCAUGUGUACCUCUCUCUCUAAACGAUUAGAACAUCCCCACACAGCACCAUGGU